rnacentral:rRNA from 1 species
UACCUUUCAGUGGGGGAUAACGUAGCGAAAGUUACGCUAAUACCGCAUAUUCUGUGAGCAGGAAAGCAGGGGAUCGCAAGACCUUGCGCUGAUGGAGCGGCCGAUGUCAGAUUAGCUAGUUGGUGGGGUAAAGGCUCACCAAGGCGACGAUCUGUAGCGGGUCUUAGAGGAUGAUCCGCCACACUGGAACUGAGACACGGUCCAGACUCCUACGGGAGGCAGCAGUGGGGAAUUUUGGACAAUGGGCGCAAGCCUGAUCCAGCCAUGCCGCGUGAGUGAAGAAGGCCUUCGGGUUGUAAAGCUCUUUCGGCCGGGAAAAAAUCGCUUGGGUUAAUACCCUGAGUGGAUGAUGGUACCGGAAUAAGAAGCACCGGCUAACUACGUGCCAGCAGCCGCGGUAAUACGUAGGGUGCGAGCGUUAAUCGGAAUUACUGGGCGUAAAGCGUGCGCAGGCGGUUUUGUAAGACAGGCGUGAAAUCCCCGGGCUCAACCUGGGAACUGCGUUUGUGACUGCAAGGCUAGAGUAUGGCAGAGGGGGGUGGAAUUCCACGUGUAGCAGUGAAAUGCGUAGAGAUGUGGAGGAACACCAAUGGCGAAGGCAGCCCCCUGGGCUAAUACUGACGCUCAUGCACGAAAGCGUGGGGAGCAAACAGGAUUAGAUACCCUGGUAGUCCACGCCCUAAACGAUGUCAACUAGGUGUUGGGUGGGUAAAACCAUUUGGUACCGUAGCUAACGCGUGAAGUUGACCGCCUGGGGAGUACGGCCGCAAGGUUAAAACUCAAAGGAAUUGACGGGGACCCGCACAAGCGGUGGAUGAUGUGGAUUAAUUCGAUGCAACGCGAAAAACCUUACCUACCCUUGACAUGCCAGGAACUUGCCAGAGAUGGCUUGGUGCCCGAAAGGGAGCCUGGACACAGGUGCUGCAUGGCUGUCGUCAGCUCGUGUCGUGAGAUGUUGGGUUAAGUCCCGCAACGAGCGCAACCCUUGUCGUUAAUUGCCAUCAUUUAGUUGGGCACUUUAACGAGACUGCCGGUGACAAACCGGAGGAAGGUGGGGAUGACGUCAAGUCCUCAUGGCCCUUAUGGGUAGGGCUUCACACGUCAUACAAUGGUCGGUACAAAGGGUUGCCAAGCCGCGAGGCGGAGCCGAUCCCAGAAAGCCGAUCGUAGUCCGGAUCGCAGGCUGCAACUCGCCUGCGUGAAGUCGGAAUCGCUAGUAAUCGUGGAUCAGCAUGUCACGGUGAAUUACGUCCCUGCCCUUUGUACACACCGCCCGUCGCUACUACCGA